rnacentral:rRNA from 1 species
GACGAACCACACAAACGUUAUUCGGAAUUACUGGGCUUAAAGGGUGCGUAGGCGGCGCGGCAAGUUGGGUGUGAAAUCCCUCGGCUCAACCGAGGAACUGCGCCCAAAACUACCGUGCUCGAGGGAGAUAGAGGUGAGCGGAACUUAGGGUGGAGCGGUGAAAUGCGUUGAUAUCCUAAGGAACACCCGUGGCGAAAGCGGCUCACUGGGUCUCUUCUGACGCUGAGGCACGAAAGCUAGGGUAGCGAACGGG